AUGUAGCUCAAUGGAUUAGAGCAUUAGAUUCCGACUCUAAAGGUUGAGGGUUCAAGUCCCUCCAUG
rnacentral:ncRNA from 15 species